AUGAAGCUGGAAUUGCUAGUAAUGGCAGGUCAGCAUACUGCCGUGAAUAACGUUCCCGGGGCCCUUGUACACACCGCCCGUCACACCAUGAGAGUUGGAAAUACCCGAAGCCUGUGAGCUAACUGUAAAGAGGCAGCAGUCGAAGGUAGAGCCAAUGAUUGGGGUGAAGUCGUAACAAGGUAUC
rnacentral:rRNA from 1 species